rnacentral:rRNA from 1 species
GAGUUUGAUCAUGGCUCAGAUUGAACGCUGGCGGAAUGCUUUACACAUGCAAGUCGAACGGCAGCACGGGGGCAACCCUGGUGGCGAGUGGCGAACGGGUGAGUAAUACAUCGGGACGUGCCCAGUCGUGGGGGAUAACGUAGCGAAAGCUACGCUAAUACCGCAUACGAACUGAGGUUGAAAGCGGGGGAUCGCAAGACCUCGCGCGAUUGGAGCGGCCGAUGGCAGAUUAGGUAGUUGGUGGGGUAAAGGCCUACCAAGCCGACGAUCUGUAGCUGGUCUGAGAGGACGACCAGCCACACUGGGACUGAGACACGGCCCAGACUCCUACGGGAGGCAGCAGUGGGGAAUUUUGGACAAUGGGCGCAAGCCUGAUCCAGCCAUUCCGCGUGCAGGAUGAAGGCCCUCGGGUUGUAAACUGCUUUUGUACGGAACGAAAAGGCUUCCUCUAAUACAGGAGGCUGAUGACGGUACCGUAAGAAUAAGCACCGGCUAACUACGUAGCCAG